AUAAACGCUGGCGGCAUGCCUAAUACAUGCAAGUCGAACGCACCAGCAAUGGUGAGUGGCGAACGGGUGAGUAACACGUAAGUAACCGACCCCAAAGACGAGGAUAACGGUUGGAAACGACCGCUAAAACUGGAUAGGACGGGAGAGCAGAAGCUUUCUCGUUUAAAGGUCCUGCAAGGGACUGUUUUGGGACGGGCUUGCGGCGCAUUAGCUAGUUGGUGAGAUAAUAGCCCACCAAGGCGACGAUGCGUAGCUGGGCUGAGAGGCGGAACAGCCACACUGGGACUGAGACACGGCCCAGACUCCUACGGGAGGCAGCAGUAGGGAAUUUUCGGCAAUGGGGGGAACCCUGACCGGGCAAUGCCGCGUGAAUGAAGAAGGUCUUCGGAUUGUAAAAUUCUGUUAUAUGUCAAGAAAAUGACGGUAGCAUAUGAAUAAGCACCGGCUAACUCCGU
rnacentral:rRNA from 1 species